AGAGCGAACGCUGGCGGCAGGCCUAAUACAUGCAAGUCGAACGGAUCCUUCGGGAUUAGUGGCGGACGGGUGAGUAACACGUGGGAACGUACCCUUUGGUUCGGAACAACUCAGGGAAACUUGAGCUAAUACCGAAUGUGCCCUUCGGGGAAAAGAUUUAUCGCCAUUGGAGCGGCCCGCGUCUGAUUAGCUAGUUGGUAGGGUAAAGGCCUACCAAGGCUACGAUCAGUAGCUGGUCUGAGAGGAUGAUCAGCCACACUGGGACUGAGACACGGCCCAGACUCCUACGGGAGGCAGCAGUAGGGAAUCUUGCGCAAUGGGCGAAAGCCUGACGCAGCCAUGCCGCGUGAAUGAUGAAGGUCUUAGGAUUGUAAAAUUCUUUCAGUCGGGGACGAUAAUGACGGUACCCGCAGAAGAAGCCCCGGCUAACUUCGUGCCAGCAGCCGC
rnacentral:rRNA from 1 species